GCAGGAUAUGGCAACAUCGUCAGUUGUGCGUCAAGAAUUCUGCAUACAGUAGCGCGUUUGUAAGAAGGAAAUCAAAGUGGACACCUACGAAGAUGGCAUCUCAGAGAGCGAGCUGACCAAGGGGUCGAAAAUGUAGAUAUUGACAGAUGUUCACUGUCCGAGGAACAGGCCGUGGAAGCUUUAUUGCUGGCAAAAGUGUCCAUAACCAGAGGUUAUAUCAGCUGUUUUGGUGAACCCCUCCUGCAUCUGAACUGGCUGACACAGAGGGAGCAGUAUGAUCAUAGGUAUGUGUAAUGUGAGAGGAAGCCAGUCCUAUCAUUGCCACCUCACCCGCGCUUAAGAUAACCAGCUCAAGGCUGGUUAGGAGACACCGCAAUUGUGAUGAACUUAGAGAAUAUUAGGGUAGCACUGUAAUUCAUGAAUCAUAUGCUGUC